rnacentral:tRNA from 1 species
GCGGAAAUAGUUUAGUUGGAAGAGCGUAAGACUAUAGAUCGAAUGUCCCUGGUUAGAUCCCGGGUUUUUUAU